rnacentral:misc_RNA from 1 species
GAUGAAGAACGUAGCGAAAUGCGAUAAGUAAUGUGAAUUGCAGAAUUCAGUGAAUCAUCGAGUCUUUGAACGCACAUUGCGCCCCUUGGUAUUCCAUGGGGCAUGCCUGUUCGAGCGUCAUUUGUACCUUCAAGCUCUGCUUGGUGUUGGGUGUUUGUCUCGCCUCUGCGUGUAGACUCGCCUCAAAACAAUUGGCAGCCGGCGUAUUGAUUUCGGAGCGCAGUACAUCUCGCGCUUUGCACUCAUAACGACGACGUCCAAAAGUACAUUUUUACACUCUUGACCUCGGAUCAGGUAGGGAUACCCGCUGAACUUAAGCAUAUCAAUAAGCGGAGGA